CUACGGGUGGCUGCAGUGGGGAAUAUUGGACAAUGGGGGAGACCCUGAUCCAGCAAUGCCGCGUGUGUGAAGAAGGCCUGCGGGUAGUAAAGCACUUUCGGUUGGGAGGACUGCUUCUAGCACUAAUAUUGUUGGAAGUUGACGUUACCUUCAGAAGAAGCACCGGCUAACUCCGUGCCAGCAGCCGCGAUAAUACGGAGGGUGCAAGCGCUAAUCGGAAUUACUGGGCGUAAAGCGCGCGUAGGCGGCUAGAUCAGUCGGGUGUGAAAGCCCCGGGCUUAACCUGGGAACUGCAUCCGAUACUGUCUAGCUUGAGUACAGGAGAGGAGAGUGGAAUUCCACAUGUAGCGGUGAAAUGCGUAGAUAUGUGGAGGAACACCAAUGGCGAAGGCAGCUCUCUGGCCUGAUACUGACGCUGAGGUGCGAAAGCGUGGGGAGCAAACAGGAUUAGAUACCCGGGUAGUC
rnacentral:rRNA from 1 species